rnacentral:rRNA from 1 species
UACGUAGGCAGCAAGCGUUGUUCGGAGUUAUUGGGCGUAAAGGGCGCGUAGGCGGCUCGGCACGUCCGUUGUGAAAUCGCCCGGCUCAACUGGGCGGGGUCAGCGGAUACGGCCGAGCUGGAGCAAGCUAGGGGGUAAUGGAAUUCCCGGUGUAGUGGUGGAAUGCGUAGAUAUCGGGAGGAACACCAGUGGCGAAGGCGGUUACCUGGAGCUUUGCUGACGCUGAUGCGCGAAAGCGUGGGGAGCGAUCCGG